CAUUGUUCAAGCUUAUUUGAAACCUACAGUAUAUGUAGUUGCUAUGAUUCAAAUUAAUAUCCAAAAGUGUGCCUUUUAUAGACUCCACCCUAAUACAGACACUUUAUUGUGCCACUCCAAUGUUCAUUCAAAGUGAUCCAACUGACAUCUGAGCUGGUGAUAAUAUACAGCAAAGUAUUGGAACUAGGAGUAUAUCACAUAAGUUGUUCAUUCAGUCAAGACAUCCAGGUUGUGCUGAUCAUCAUAUCAAACUCCAUCACAUAU